UAUGAAAUUGCUUUAUUUCUAGGGUUUACAGAUUGGUACUCGAGAAUUAGAAGAGAUGGGAGCAAAAUUUUGUGUUGGUCUGUUGCGUUUGAAAAGACUGACAUCCCCAUUGGAAUAUAAUCUGCCUUCCAGCCUGCUUGACUUUGAAAAUGACUUGAUUGAAUCGAACUGCAAAGUAACUAGCCCUACCACUUACGUUUUGGAUGAAGAUGAGCCUCGAUUCCUUGAAGAAGUGGAUUACAGUGCAGAAAGUAAUGACGACUUAGAUACUGAAUUGGCGGAAAACGUAGGAGAUUAUGAACCUUCUGCUCAGGAAGAAGUACUUUCUGACUCUGAAUUGUCAAGAGCAUACCUACCUUAAACCUUCUGCCAUCUCUUGAAAGUGCAAAAAAGAAAGGAAAUACCUUCUUUUUUCUUACACAGGAAGUUUGAGAGAAAUGAGUUAAUAGCUGACUCAAGAAAGACAAAAAGUAAUUUGGGCCUGUUUGGUUUCAAGACAAUAAAUAUGUUAUUAAUUCAUGAUAAAAUUGGCACUUGUUUUAUUUUAGAUAUUCAGUGCACUUGAUAUGGCAUUAAAUGAUCAAAUAUUGGAUUUUUUUUAAAACCUGAGUAUCAUUGCAUGAAUUUUUAUCUUCUUAUGGUUAUAUCCUGCAUCAAAUGGAUACAUUUUGAAGUGUGUGAGAAUAUAAAAUCUGAAUCCCGAGUUGUUGAAAACAAAUACGUAUGUACAUGGAUUUCUUUAGCUGUGACUGUGUAGGGUGGGUAGACAUUGAACAUAAGACUGUGCUUCAGAAUCAUGUUAACUGUGGACUUGUGACUGAAAUAACCCAGAGUUUGCCUUGAAAGCGUUACAUUCUCCACUUACCAAAUUAAACAAAUAAAAGCUAUAUUAAAUGUUGAAUUCAUUUCGUCAUCCUUUUUAACCAGCUCAGAUUAUUUGGUUUAUAGAAUCUUUGUGAGAAUAUUAUAAAAAUCCAACAUCCAAACACAUUGAUAAAAAUUUGUAAAACAGAAAAAAAAAGUGCUGAAUUUACUGGUUCUAAGCUUUUUAUGGUAUAGGUAUACCUCUACCUGUCGUAAAGCAUAUAUUAUAGCAGCUCUUUUCUCUAAAACUGUGUCUCUUGGUUGCAUCUAAACUGUUUAUCACGAUAGUUUGUUCAGCUUGAAAAAUGCAGUGAGGAUACGAUCUCGUGUUAAAUGUGUAUCUGUAUAUUAAGCGUAUUUAGCAUUUCCUGAGUUGUGUGAUGCUGUUAGACGCACUGACCCUGGCAUCUGUGUCUCGAUGACUACAGUGACUGUAAACCAUUUCUUGCACUGUCAUCUUCCUGGUUUAAGCUGCCCUGCUGCAGGAACGACUUUGUCUUCACAUAGAAUAAAACUGGUUCAGCGGCUUUGGAUAAGUGCCCUACAAACUAAGUUUCUGUUGUAAUAAAACAAAUCCAAAAGAGAUACCUCAUUAACAGAUUCUUGCGAGGACUCUGGUGCUUAGGUUUGGGUACAUUAUCUUUGCUUAUUCCUGAUUAGAAUUUUUUAAAUCUUUUUUUUUUUUAAACCUAUAAUAAUGGAAAAGAAAUGAUAAAAUGUAUUUCAGAUUUUUGCAUUUUCCAAACCAGUAAUUUUCACUGUAUCAUUUGAGGCAUUUUCUCCAUAGUGUAGCUUAUUUUUGAUGUCCUAGGAGCUAUGUUUAAAAACAUAGUAUGGGGCAAUUGAUAAGAGUUCUUUUUCUCUUAGUAGCCUAAUUCUUAUUAAUCUCAGAAAAUAAAGACUAGAUUGUGAGGAUUUGACAGUCCUCUUAGUGUGUGGUGAGCUAAUUUGGGAAAGAUCAGGAUACUUUAAAAUAUUACUAAAUAAUUUAUCUAAUAAUUCAUAAAGUUAUUUAUUUUUAUUUAUAUAUUUCAUAUAUAAAAUAAUUACAUAUUUAAUUAUGAUUUUUUCAGAGAGUGGAUUAUGGAGCCACUAUGUCUGUAUAUAAAUUUUUCCUGAUUCUUAUAAAACUAGAAAUUAAAACACAAGAUACCCAUGUAUGAGAAGCAAUUACAGUUACUGUAGUGUGCAGAUAACUCAAAACUUCAAUUUAUUAUGUUGGCAGUGUAAAAAUCCCUUAUUGUGUACUAUUCCAAUAUUUCAUAUUGAUGACGUACAUCUUUUAGUAUAUGUUACAAACCUGAAUAUGCCUUUUAUUAAAUCAUUAUUCACAAGGUUGAAGAGAAAGUCUUUUAUGGUUAGGAAAUGAUUUUUUCUUUAAUAAAUAGCUUUGGAGAAAUAAGAAUUUCAAAUCCUAACUUUCUGAAUUAGUGGGUAAAACUAGGUGUCAUUGGCUAUUAGUAGCUAAAAUUGCCCUAAAUUUUAUCUCUGGCUAUUUCUUUUCAGGAUUUUCAAAGAAUGAUUGAGAUGCCUUCAGUGCCAUAGCCCUGAAAAAGUAAUGUGUAGCUGACAAACUGAGUUUAAUGAUAGAGCUUAGGUUGAUUUAAUUUGCCUUGUGUUUGGAACUGCGAAUUUCUUAAAAGUGGUUUUGGUGCGAUCCAGUGGUUCUCGUACUGUGUUGUGUGCAUCAGAAUCACCUGGAGGACUUGCUUCCCAAAUCAGAGAUUGCUGAUACAAUGUGGCCCUGGGCGGGGCCCCAAAUGUGCGUUUCUUAAAAGUUCUCAGGUGGUAAUGAUGCAGGAACCACGCUAGGAGAACCACUGUCUGAUCUGAUGUGCUCUUGCAGCCUCGUUUCCUAGGAGUCACAGGACCUGUGAACUGGAAAUCAGCACCAAGGGAUGGUCUAGAUCAAACUCAGGUGUAGAAUCAAGACAGUAGACACACGGAGAUCGAGUGCAGUCACUGGGGCACUUGUGGCAGAGCCAGGGUUUCAGCCCACGUCUGCAGACGACUGGCCUCGUGUUCUUGCCUCAGAAGGAGAUGCUGUCCUUGGCCUUUCUGCAAAGAGUAAGGAAUGUGAAAAGCUUGAGGGUCUCUCUGGAGUUUGUGAAAUUUAUUCAGGCAAGGCAGAGUGUAAAAACCUGUGGUUCACAUCGGCUUUUCCUUUUUUGCCAUCAUACUAUUGUUGGGAGACAGGGUUUUGUCCUGCUUUAAGUAUCUUUCUUACUCAGUUCCUGCCACGUCUGCCAGUGGUGUGUAGUAUUCAGAAACAUGGACAUUUGUUUGAAUCCUAAUUACAAAUAAGUAACCUGGAGUUCCACUUCAGAUAGCGCACUAACAGCUACAUUUCAAAUAUCCAACUGAAGAUGACCAUAUUAUUAUAAGCACUAAAACGGAUAAUGUAAUAAAUGUACUAAUGGAAUUGUCUUUGUGCAUGAUCCAGAAAUAAAUGACACUAAUGAAACCAUAAA